rnacentral:tRNA from 1 species
GGGCGCGGAGUUCAGCGGGAGAACACUACGUUGACAUAGUUGGGGGCGCCGGUUCAUUCCCGGCCGCGCCUU